rnacentral:lncRNA from 1 species
UUGCAGAGUGAAGUGCAACUCUACUAGUCAGCAUGUGUGAUCCACAUGAAGAAAGUGAACAAGUUGUGUUUUAACUAUUACAUCGGCAUGCUUUAAGAAUGAUAUAUGUAUAUCAAUGGCUUAACGGUGAACAUAUAUAAAUACUCCAUAUAAUAUAUAUGAAUAGUUCUUGUAUGAGCAUGUCCAGAUGUGUCUUUGAGAUGUUGGAGUAACACAAAGCAGAGAACCGCUUCAGUUAUAUCGUGAUCAACAUGUCGCGUUAGAAUAUCUUCUAGAUUUGGAUGUUUGAUGUGUUUUCUAAAUACAAGGUGAUGACUACAAUGUGCUUUUUCUUUUUGAUUUAUAUUACAAAACUAGUUGAUGUGAGUUUAAUGUUUUUGUUAGAUGCAUAUAGAUAGGACUCUAAUGCUUUUCGGCUAUUUGUUUAUUGUAUAUAGAUAGAAGUCUAUGUUGUACAUGUGUAUAUAUAUACUGGAUUUAGGGUCUCAUAUUGUAAUACAAUUGCUAUUCCAGGAUGAUCAUCUGGUUGGCGGGGCGACGUCGAGCACCUACGCCAUGACUGCAACAUUCUAGUGAACAACGUCAUGGACAUGAGACACAUUGUGGCGAAGGUGCGCUCUCGAGGACAACAGGUCUCAAGACCCUCACGCAUGAGGUGAUGGGCAUGCUGAUCGACAAGACCAAACAAAUGACGCUCAUUUGGUGGGCCAGACCUCUAUUGUCCCUAGUAGGUCUAGUACACCAUCGUCGAUUAUGUGUCCUACGCGAUUGGUCGGCUGCUGCUCACUAGGGAGCACACGAAAUACAUAGAUAUCGUCGUUGCAACAAUCUCGUUCUAUAUUAUCUUCGUGUGACUUUCAUAUCUACUGUGAUGCGAAUCGAAUUAGUGAUUUCUCAGAUGUUGGUCUAUCGGAUUUUUAUUGGUGGUUUCCUUGUUGCUUGUAAGAUUAAGAAGUAGCUAACAGUGUUCCAUUCGAGUAUAGAGGUUGACUUGUGUGCUAUGGCUCUUGCAAUGGUAGCUGUGACUUGGCUACAAUGUGUGCUGUUUUUUGUGUUUCUAUACCGACUCCCC